GCCCUGGUGGCUCAUCGGUCUGAGCGCGCGCACCAUAAAGGCCUGCGGCGACUUGGUUCGAUUCCGGCUCGGGUCA